rnacentral:tRNA from 1 species
GCAUCGGUGGUUCAAUGAGAGAAUUCUCACCUUCCAUGCAGGAGACCUGGGUUUGGUUCCCCGCCAAUGCA